AACACAUGCAAGUCGAACGCGAAAGUCCCGCAAGGGAUAAGUAGAGUGGCAGACGGGUGAGUAAUGCAUAGGUAAUCUACCCUUGAGUGGGGGAUAACUCCGGGAAACCGGUGCUAAUCCCGCAUAACGUCCUGAUGCACAAGCAUUUGGAUCAAAGGGGGGGAUCCUUCGGGACCUCCUGCUUGGGGAUGAGCCUAUGUCCUAUUAGCUAGUUGGUGAGGUAAUGGCCCACCAAGGCUCUGAUGGGUAGCCGAGCUGAGAGGCUGAUCGGCCACACUGGAACUGAAACACGGUCCAGACUCCUACGGGAGGCAGCAGUGGGGAAUUUUGCGCAAUGGGCGAAAGCCUGACGCAGCGACGCCGCGUGAGGGAUGAAGGUCUUCGGAUCGUAAACCUCUGUCAGGAAGCAUUAAAUGUGCGGAUACCAACACCAUCCGUACUUGACUUAACUUCCAGAGGAAGCCCCGGCUAACUACGUGCCAGCAGCCGCGGUAAUACGUAGGGGGCAAGCGUUACUCGGAUUUAUUGGGCGUAAAGAGAAUUCAGGCGGUCAUGUAAGUCAGUGGUGAAAUCCCUCGGCUCAACUGANGAAUUGCCUCUGAUACUGCGUGACUCGAGGACAGGAGAGGAAGGCGGAAUUCCCGGUGUAGCGGUGGAAUGCGUAGAUAUCGGGAGGAACACCUGAGGCGAANGCGGCUUUCUGGACUGGUCCUGACGCUGAUAUUCGAAAGCUAGGGGAGCAAACAGGAUUAGAUACCCUGGUAGUCCUAGCUGUAAACGAUGGAUACUAGAUCUUGCAUGAUUUUGCUUGGUCGAAGCUAACGCGUUAAGUAUCCCGCCUGGGGAGUACGGUCGCAAGGCUGAAACUCAAGGGAAUUGACGGGGGCCCGCA
rnacentral:rRNA from 1 species